CCAGGCUGGAGCGAGCCUCCCCCGGAGGGACGAAGGCGGACCGCAGCCCUCUUUCCUCCGCGGCCGAGGGCGCGCAGAGCCGGGGGCGCGGGCGGCUGCAGGGCCCGGCGCGCCACCGCGCGAGCUGCUGGGUCACCGCCCGGGCCGCGCCACCCGCUCCGCGAGGAAGUGACGACUGCGCCGUCCCGAGAGCAACAAAGUUUGAGUCUGCGGGCCCUGCUCGCCUGCGCCCCGCGCCCCUCCUAGCCGCCCCGGGAUCCAGCGCGCAGCUGAGAAAUUUAUGACAUCUCUGCAAAGUAACUUGGGACUGGCGGGCCGGGCGGGUGGCGCCCGGGCUCCGGGGCUUGGAGUCUGCAACUGGAGCGGCAGCGGCCGCGUCGGGGACGCGUUGGUGUGUGCAGGAAUGUUCGUCGGUGCGGUGGAGACUCCGACAUGGGAUGUCUAGAAGUUGAAUGGAUCAGUUCCUAGCAGCAGCUUCCUGCCGGCCUGUAAUUACAGCGUGAUUGCACAGUCAGGCAUUGUUGGCCUGGAUGUUUAUACACAGGCUAUUGUGCAAGACCUCGGUGGCAGCGGACAAAACGCGUAUUUGCAUUGCAAAUACCCAGGACUGAUCUGGGUCUGAGCUGCAGUCGCAUAGUUCUUUUCGGCCUUUCACCUUAGCGAGGUGAUUUAUUUCCUCGCCUCUCCCUUCACCUCGGAUAAUUUGCCAAAUGGCCAGAGAAGUAGAGUGGACCCUGGAGGGCAGGAUCCUUCCACUCCCAACCUCCUGAAAACUGUCCCAGGAAUUGUACCCUUAUUUGUGCCUGUAGAAAAUGUGGGAUGACGUCAGCAGGAAAAGGAGAUGGGAGAUGGCUAUCGACCUCUCUAAACGGGAAAGCAGUUUGAAUUAGCAAAAUUGCAUGGUGACUGGCUUGGGGCCUGGCUGCAAAGAGGACACGUCAGACAUGUGUGACUGUGCUGGUGAGCUAGACUUUGAGCCGUCAAGUGUCAGAUGUAGAAACUUAGUAGGUGGGUCGCUAAUUCCUUUAUUGUGUUCUGGGCAAAGGGAAAAGUGCUGGGUCUUUGAGACUGUUGUUUGUGGCCAGUGUCUGGGGUGGGGGUGGAGGAGUGACUCAUAUUCUUUUUCUCCAGAGGAACCCCUCCCUCCUUCCUGAGCAAGCUGGGCUACACAGACCAGGGUUGAGGGGGUCCUCACAUGUUCUGAGCUGCCAUGUGGCAGGAAGGGAGCUAAGCCUUCAAGUGUGGAAAGAAGGCAAACAGAUUUUCCUUGAGGGCCUUCAGAGGUGGCUAACUGUAGCAGAGGGAUUUAAAACACAGUCGCAAACAUGGACAGGCUGCAUGCUGGGCCUUUCUUCCAACAUGCCAAAUCUCAGCUCACUCUUUCUGUGCCCUAGGCAGAAGGUUCUGCCAGGGCAGCACUCGGCCCUGCUGAAGGAACUGUGUGACUCGGUGACGGGUACCCAUGGCCCAGCACCCUGGAGCUUCCCCAUGCCUGGCCUUCUCCCCAACCAAGGAACGGAGUUUCACCCGGAGGGAAAACGCUGUUUUGCA
ensembl:lncRNA